rnacentral:rRNA from 1 species
UAGGGAAUCUUCGGCAAUGGGGGCAACCCUGACCGAGCAACGCCGCGUGAGUGAAGAAGGUUUUCGGAUCGUAAAGCUCUGUUGUAAGAGAAGAACGUGUGUGAGAGUGGAAAGUUCACACAGUGACGGUAACUUACCAGAAAGGGACGGCUAACUACGUGCCAGCAGCCGCGGUAAUACGUAGGUCCCGAGCGUUGUCCGGAUUUAUUGGGCGUAAAGCGAGCGCAGGCGGUUUAAUAAGUCUGAAGUUAAAGGCAGUGGCUUAACCAUUGUUCGCUUUGGAAACUGUUAAACUUGAGUGCAGAAGGGGAGAGUGGAAUUCCAUGUGUAGCGGUGAAAUGCGUAGAUAUAUGGAGGAACACCGGUGGCGAAAGCGGCUCUCUGGUCUGUAACUGACGCUGAGGCUCGAAAGCGUGGGGAGCAAAAAGG